rnacentral:rRNA from 2 species
GAGGAAAAGAAAAUAACAAUGAUUUCCCUAGUAACGGCGAGUGAAGAGGAAAGAGCUCAAAGUUGGAACCUGUUUGGCCUAGCUAAACCGGAUUGUAGACUGUAGAAGUGUUUUCCAGGCAAGCCGAGUAAAUAAGUCCUUUGGAACAGGGCAUCAUAGAGGGUGAGAAUCCCGUCUUUGGCUUGAGCAUUUGCCUUUUGUGAUACGCUUUCAAAGAGUCAGGUUGUUUGGGAAUGCAGCCUAAAUUGGGUGGUAAAUCUCACCUAAAGCUAAAUAUUGGCGAGAAACCGAUAGCGAACAAGUACCGUGAGGGAAAGAUGAAAAGAACUUUGAAAAGAGAGUUAAACAGUAUGUGAAAUUGUUAAAAGGGAACCGUUUGGAGCCAGACUGGCUUGUCUGUAAUCAAUCUAGGCUUCGGCCUGGAUGCACUUGCAGGCUAUGCCUGCCAACGACAAUUUGACUUGAGGGAAAAAACUAAGGGAAAUGUGGCCCACUUGUGGGUGUUAUAGUCCCUUAGAAAAUACCUUGGGUUGGAUUGAGGAACGCAGCGAAUGCUUUUUGGCGAGUUUUCCAGGAAGGUUUUCUGAGGUACUACGGUAUCAAGGUUGAUCUUUUUGGUUAUACUUCUAUUCGCUUAGGUUGUUGGCUUAAUGACUCUAAAUGACCC